rnacentral:rRNA from 1 species
AUUGAACGCUGGCGGCAUGCCUUACACAUGCAAGUCGAACGGUAACGCGGGGCAACCUGGCGACGCGUGGCGAACGGGUGAGUAAUGUAUCAGAACGUGCCCAGUUGUGGGGGAUAACUGCUCGAAAGAGCAGCUAAUACCGCAUACGACCUGAGGGUGAAAGCGGGGGAUCGCAAGACCUCGCGCAAUUGGAGCGGCCGAUAUCAGCUUAGGUAGUUGGUGGGGUAAAGGCCCACCAAGCCAACGAUCUGUAUCUGGUCUGAGAGGACGACCAGCCACGCUGGGGCUAUGACACGGCCCAGAGUCCUACGGGAGGCGACAGUGGGGAAUUUUGGACAAUUGCUGCAAGUCUGAUCCAGCCAUGCCGCGUGCGGGAAGAAGGCCUUCGGGUUGUAAACCGCUUUUGUCAGGGAAGAAAAGGGCGACUCUAAUACAGUUGCCUCAUGACGGUACCUGAAGAAUAAGCACCGGCUAACUACGUGCCAGCCGCCGCUGUAACAC